GUUCUAGAACACUGCAGAGCAGCUAUGGUAACAUCACUUCUGAACAUUACAUUCCACUCCUGUCUGUUUCCAGCAUCUCCUCAUCCACUACCUUCAUCAUGGCCGGAUCAACCUCCUAGUAUUGAACCUGUGUGUGUGUACAGAGUCCACGCUUUUGCUCCAGAGGCGGGAUCAGAUGAUUGGUCUCCACCCCUGUAAUUGAACACCUGUGGGCCUUUACUGACCUGUUAUGCUGAUUAAGAUCCUGGCAAUAAAAGAUGGAAACGUCCAUCAAGCCAGUGCCAGAUUGCUGUAUCAGCAGCGGUAAUACUAAGCUCUGCUCCCUCUACAAACCUUCACCCACUCAGAUUGUUGUUGCUUCCACUGCAAAGCUACAGGCCCGGAGAGCAUCAGUCCCAGUAUCUCUUCAACCUGAGUGUGCUGCAGGAAAAGUGCCUUUAAUACCAUCCAACAACCACUGCUGCUCAGGAUGGUGUCACCACUUCUGCUGUCUCCUGGAUUGCUGACUAUCUAUCAGAG